UACGGAGGGUGCGAGCGUUAAUCGGAAUUACUGGGCGUAAAGCGAGUGUAGGCGGCUGCAUAAGUCGGAUGUGAAAGCCCCGGGCUUAACCUGGGAAUGGCAUUCGAUACUGUGCGGCUCGAGUCUGAUAGAGGGAAGUGGAAUUCCAGGUGUAGCGGUGAAAUGCGUAGAUAUCUGGAAGAACACCAGUGGCGAAGGCGGCUUCCUGGAUCAAGACUGACGCUGAGGUGCGAAAGCGUGGGGAGCAAACAGG
rnacentral:rRNA from 1 species